rnacentral:rRNA from 1 species
CUUGCUCCUUAUGAAGUUAGCGGCGGACGGGUGAGUAACACGUGGGUAACCUGCCCAUAAGACUGGGAUAACUCCGGGAAACCGGGGCUAAUACCGGAUAACAUUUUGAACCGCAUGGUUCGAAAUUGAAAGGCGGCUUCGGCUGUCACUUAUGGAUGGACCCGCGUCGCAUUAGCUAGUUGGUGAGGUAACGGCUCACCAAGGCAACGAUGCGUAGCCGACCUGAGAGGGUGAUCGGCCACACUGGGACUGAGACACGGCCCAGACUCCUACGGGAGGCAGCAGUAGGGAAUCUUCCGCAAUGGACGAAAGUCUGACGGAGCAACGCCGCGUGAGUGAUGAAGGCUUUCGGGUCGUAAAACUCUGUUGUUAGGGAAGAACAAGUGCUAGUUGAAUAAGCU